GUUGUAUGGUUAAGUGACUAAGCGUACACGGUGGAUGCCUUGGCAGUCAGAGGCGAUGAAAGACGUAGUAACUUGCGAUAAGCCCAGAUUAGGUAGUAACAACCAUUUGAGUCUGGGA
rnacentral:rRNA from 1 species